CAGCCCUAGUCAAAUCUGCAAGACGCUCCGCUUCUGAGACGCUCUUGGUGUGGUAUGGCGUGGUGGAGGACGGAACAAAACCGGAAUGCAGCACAGACGCGCGCAGUGAAGAAUG